GCAAACGUCACAGUGGAUCCGGUCUCACGUGGCUCUUGCAGUUACAGAUUCACAGGCAAGUCUCAAUAAAGGAUAAAAUUCCUCAACAAGGAACACUCAUGGUCCUCUCUGGAGUCACACCAGUUGUCCUACAUCUUCCCUGAAGUGCAGCUCUCUCAGUGGAUGCAAAGGGAUAAGAUGAAGGAAGAAGCAUUGCACUGCAGGAAUGUGCAAUUCCAGGUCAUGGAUGAGGGGUUGGGGACAGUUCAGCAGGAAGACUUGGAUGUGAAAACUCCUGCACCAGCCAGGGGAGCAGAAAGCAAAACGAAAUCCAAUGUCUGGCAACUGCA